rnacentral:rRNA from 1 species
AGUGAACGCUGGCGGUAGGCCUAACACAUGCAAGUCGAACGGCAGCACAGUAAGAGCUUGCUCUUACGGGUGGCGAGUGGCGGACGGGUGAGGAAUACAUCGGAAUCUACUUUUUCGUGGGGGAUAACGUAGGGAAACUUACGCUAAUACCGCAUACGACCUACGGGUGAAAGCAGGGGAUCUUCGGACCUUGCGCGAUUGAAUGAGCCGAUGUCGGAUUAGCUAGUUGGCGGGGUAAAGGCCCACCAAGGCGACGAUCCGUAGCUGGUCUGAGAGGAUGAACAGCCAGACGGAAACUGAGCACGGGACACAACUCCGACGGGAGUCAGGAGGGGAGAGAGGAGAGCGAUGGACACCAGCCUGAUCCAGCCAGACCGGGUGGAUGAAGAAGGCCUUCUGGUUAUAAAGCUCUUUUGUUGGGAAAGAAGAGCUGCAGGUUCAGACCUAGCUGUUCGGACGAAACCCAAAGAAACAGCACAGGCUAUCUUCUCCCCACCACCCGCGUUAAUAAU